rnacentral:lncRNA from 1 species
GUAUAUUUGUGUUUGUGAGGUAACGCCGUGAUAAACCAUUAAAAAAAAUGUGUUUAUGUAACUAUAUAUUUUCAAUGAAUACUCCCAAAAGAAAGCCUUUGCUUGUGCUGUUGGAAUUUGCUUUUAUCCUCACGUGAACACCUAUGAAGAAUAUUCUUAUCAUGCAAUUUCGAAGCUCAAAUAUAUACGGAACAAAUGGAUUAAAGCUUGUCAUACGCAAGACUCAUUUAAUCCUCAAAACUGCUAAAGUUUUUUGGAAACAUUUCGAGAAAAACUAUUUGGAAAUAAAUAUGAAAGUUGAGCUCAUGUCUAACUAAGAAAGAACUUCCAGCGACAAGAUGAAGAAAAAAAAUAAAACCCUACGCAAUUCCUUCUGUUCAUUUGGUUCGUUUGGUCAUAUAUAUUAUUUUACCACAUAUAAUGUUAUUUUAAAUACAGAAGGUUCUCUUCUUUA